UACAGAGGUCUCAAGCGUUGUUCGGAUUCAUUGGGCGUAAAGGGUGCGUAGGCGGCGUGGUAAGUCGGGUGUGAAAUCUCGGAGCUUAACUCCGAAACUGCAUUCGAUACUGCCGUGCUUGAGGACUGGAGAGGAGACUGGAAUUUACGGUGUAGCGGUGAAAUGCGUAGAUAUCGUAAGGAACACCAGUGGCGAAGGCGGCUUACUGGUCCAUUACUGACGCUGGAGGUGCGAAAGCGUGGGGAGCAAACAGG
rnacentral:rRNA from 1 species